ensembl:lncRNA
CUUGUCUCCCACUUCUUAGCUGCGCAUCCUGCAAAUAAACUCUGACUUUGCUGCAGAUACCUGCAGUCAAGGUUUGUCUUUCUGUGGCUGUGGGCACAUGAACCCUCCUUAAAUUUUGCAUCAUUGUGUUCCUAAGUCUCCUUAGGAACCUUAGUUUUCCUAAGCCACUCUAGUCUCAGCCCUGCCAGAAGUCAUAGCAUUUUCAUUUAAAAACUUAAAUAUAUGCUUGUUCUUUGUCCUAAUUGCUAGGAAUUCUUCCUUUGGAAAUAAACAGGGUUCUAAACCAUAUGUUCAAAACGAUCAUAUAUAUAAAUAUAAGACAGGAAGGACAUGCACCCAAAUGAUAACAGAGGUUAUCUCUGAGAGAUAGGGUUAUAGAUUAUUUUUUCCAUCAUGCUUGUGGGUUUGUGUGUGUGCUUUACACAUUUUCUGCACUUCACAAGUAUGUUUUUGUGGCUAGGCAGAAAUAACGUUAUAUUUAAAUAUGACCCAUUGUGCUUAGGCUAAGCACCUUACUGCCCUCUUUCCUUCUGGACAGCACUUUCCCAUGAGGCUUUCUGAUCCUUCAUGCAAACAGCCCCACAGAGACUCACCCCACAAGCCUCUCAGACAGGCAUACACAUGUCUGAAUCUACAGAGAGGCUGAGACAGGCCUGUUGGGGUGCAGUCUUCUCUGAGGGCACUGUAGGACGGGAUAUGAUGAUUUAAAUGCCCCUCCCCAACUUCCACCUCCUCUCCCAGGGGUUGUUCAGGGAAUCCACACCCUUGUGGAAGGAGUCGGAUGGACAGGAAUUGAGUCCCUGACUUUGCCAGGUACAAGCCAUGUGACUCUAGGCAAGUUAUUUCGUCUCUCUGCUCAAUCUUCACAUCCCUAAAAUGGAGAUAACACUGGAGUUAUAGCACAGUGAUCUUCUGGAGCCAGUAAGAAGAUGUAUGUGAAGUGUGGAUGCCAGUCUGGCAUGAGGUGACUCAGCAAGAGGUAAAGACAGAUGGCUUUUAAUCAGGUGACCAGGUUUGGACCAGGUCCCUUGGGGACCCAGUUCUUUAAAGAUGCUCUGGAUUUCUUCAGAGGAAGCUGUUUGGGGCCAACCGAACUUCUUCCCUGAGAAGCCUCAGUGGGACUUCCCCUCACACAGGCUUGUCUUCCUGAUGCCCUCUUUUGCUAUUCUGAAACCAAAGGUGGUAAUGGAUAGCUUAUGAAUGAGGGCUAAAAUUCUGCCAAUUAAUUGCAUUGAAUGAAGUUUGUAAACAUUGUGAAUGGAAAUUUUAGCACUGUCAACAAGUAUUUACUGACUACCCACUACGUGGUAGAUAUUGUGGGAAUAUUUUUGAGUACAGCGGUAGGCUGCAAAACCAGCCCCAGCUCUCUAUCCAUCCCUGUAUCUGUGUUCCUUGCAAUGUGACUUUGCUGCUCCUGCCAUCAGGAGAUUGAAUAAGGGUGUUGCUGUGACUUGGUUUAGUCAAUACAACUAUGGAAGUGACACAGUCCAGGUUCUGACUUCGGCCUUGAGAGACCUGCAUGAUUCCAGUCUUGCUCAUGGAACCCUGCAGCUGCAUGUGAACCAGCCUGGACUAGCCUGCUGAUGUAUGAGGAACAUGUGGCCUCACGUUACCUCAGUUGAUAGUCACCUGCAAGAAGCAGAGCCUCUGGCUGCCUAGCAACUACCCCAGAAGCAUGAGCGGGUCCAGCUGAGUCCAGAAGAACUACCCAGACGAGCCCAACCUAAAAUCCUGACCCACAAGAAUCAUGAAAUAAACUAAUAUGUUUUAAAGCCACCCCUAAGUUCUGGGGUAUUCUAUCAUGCAGGAAAAAAAAAAAAAAAACCCAAACUAAAAAUAUACUGAUUGAUACAAGCACUUAGCACACGCCAAACUCUGGCUCUGGUUUAUUUGAAAGCAGGCAGAGUCUUGGGAGCAAAGACCUGUACAAAUGUGCCAUACUGGGUGUGAUGCAGAAAGUGCUGUGGAGAGCAAACUCACCAGGAAUAGAAGAGAUGGCAUGUGAGAUGGGGAGGAAUCAUGUCCCUGUGGAGUAGGCUGGUCCAGGAUGAAAUUCCUGAGAGAGGAGAAUGAGUGAACAUGGGAAGAACAUGGGAAAUUCCAGGCUGGGGCCAUUGGUGGUAUUUACCGAGCACUUAGCUUGUGCAUGGAAGCAUUACACAGGCCACCCCAGGUCUGCAUGAGGCCAAGCAGGGGAGAGAAGACAGCCAUAUUGCUGUAGCAGAAAUUAGUAGAGGCACCCCAUUACGUUAGUCCGUUUUCAGCUCUUACUCUUCUGCCCAUACAAUCAGUCUCCUACAGAUGUUUUGUUCCCCCUCUCUUGCUUAAUUGUACUCUGAAAAUGAUUGCUUUCUAGCCAAAGUUGUCCUAUGUACCUAAUGUUUACUUCUUGAAGACAACACUCCCUAACACUCCUUUUCUUUGUGAGUAUUCUUCAUGCCAGAAGGAAGGUCACACAAUGAUGACCUCAAGGACCACCAGAACCUGUUCUGGAACCACCUGCCGCCAGCCCUAAUGAUCUCAAUGUCUCUAGGAGGAAAGAAGAAUGCAAGACUACAUCAGUCCCGAUCCUUAUCGACAGCCUGUUUUCCACUCUGAAGCUACAAGACCAUUUCCUGUUUCCCAGGAAGUAAGGCACAAUCUUGAGGGCCUUAGCCUGCUGUGGCCCCCUCUGCCUGACAAAAUAAUAAAGCUACUCUUUUCUGCUC